AGAGUUUGAUCAUGGCUCAGGAUGAACGCUAGCGGGAGGCUUAACACAUGCAAGUCGAGGGGCAGCAUAGGGUAGCAAUACUCUGAUGGCGACCGGCAAACGGGUGAGUAACGCGUAUGCAACCUACCCUGUACAGGGGGAUAACCCGGAGAAAUUCGGACUAAUAUCCCGUAAUAAUAUCCGGAGGCGUCUUUGGAUAUUUAAAGUUCCGACGGUACGGGAUGGGCAUGCGUAACAUUAGCUGGUUGGUAAGGUAACGGCUUACCAAGGCUAUGAUGUUUAGGGGUCCUGAGAGGGUGGUCCCCCACACUGGUACUGAGACACGGACCAGACUCCUACGGGAGGCAGCAGUGAGGAAUAUUGGUCAAUGGGCGCAAGCCUGAACCAGCCAUCCCGCGUGCAGGAAGACGGCCCUAUGGGUUGUAAACUGCUUUUCCAGGGAGAGAAACUUACGCACGUGUUGCGUGACUGACGGUACCCUGGGAAUAAGCAUCGGCUAACUCCGUGCCAGCAGCCGCGGUAAUACGGAGGAUGCAAGCGUUAUCCGGAUUCAUUGGGUUUAAAGGGUGCGUAGGCGGGCUAUUAAGUCAGUGGUGAAAUCCUGCAGCUUAACUGCAGAACUGCCGUUGAUACUGAUAGUCUUGAGUUUGGUUAAGGUAGGCGGAAUGUGUAAUGUAGCGGUGAAAUGCUUAGAUAUUACACAGAACACCAAUUGCGUAGGCAGCUUACUGAGCCGACACUGACGCUGAGGCACGAAAGCGUGGGGAUCAAACAGGAUUAGAUACCCUGGUAGUCCACGCCGUAAACGAUGAUUACUCGCUGUUGGCGAUACACUGUCAGCGGCUAAGCAAAAGCAAUAAGUAAUCCACCUGGGGAGUACGGCCGCAAGGUUGAAACUCAAAGGAAUUGACGG
rnacentral:rRNA from 1 species